UACAGAGGUCUCAAGCGUUGUUCGGAUUCAUUGGGCGUAAAGGGUGCGUAGGUGGCGCGCUAAGUCAGGUGUGAAAUUUCGGAGCUUAACUCCGAAACUGCAUUUGAUACUGGCGUGCUUGAGGACUGGAGAGGAGACUGGAAUUUACGGUGUAGCAGUGAAAUGCGUAGAGAUCGUAAGGAAGACCAGUGGCGAAGGCGGGUCUCUGGACAGUUCCUGACGCUGAGGCACGAAGGUCAGGGGAGCAAACGGG
rnacentral:rRNA from 1 species